GGUUGAUCUUGCGACCUUACUGCUAUCGGGUGAAGACUAAGCCAUGCGAGUUAUGCGCUCCUAGCUAUGUCGGAGGUGCAGCGUACGGCUCAGUAACACGUAGUUAAUCUGCCCUUGGGACAGGAAUAACCCUGGGAAACUGGGGCUAAUUCCCGAUAGGCGCAGUGGCCUGGAAUGGUACUGCACCGAAAAGACUCCAAGAACAUGCUCUUGGGGUUGCCCAAGGAUGAGACUGCGGCCGAUCAGGUUGUUGGUAGGGUAACGGCCUACCAAGCCUAUUACCGGUAUGGGCCCUGAGAGGGGGGCCCGGAGAUGGGAACUGAGACAAGGUCCCAGGUCCUACGGGGCGCAGCAGGCGCGAAAACUCCACAAUGCGCAAAUGCGUGAUGGGGUUAACCCGAGUGCCGUCCGAUGAGGAUGGCUUUUCUCUAGUUUAAGGAGCUAGAGGAAUAAAGGGGGGGCAAGACUGGUGUCAGCCGCCGCGGUAAUACCAGCCCCCUGAGUGGUAAGGACGAUUAUUUAGCCUAAAGCGUCCGUAGCCGGCUGUGUAAGUCUUCCGUCAAAUCCGACGAUUUAAUCGUCGGCCCGCGGUAGAUACUGCUAAGCUUGAGGACGGGAGAGGUCGACGGUAGUCCCAGGGUAGGGGUGAAAUCCUAUAAUCCUGGGAGGACCACCAGUGGCGAAGGCGGUCGACUAGAACGUGCCUGACGGUGAUGGACGAAAGCUGGGGGAGCGAACCGGAUUAGACACCCGGGUAGUCCCAGCUGUAAACGAUGCGAGCUAGGUGUUGGAGCAACUACGAGUUGCCCCAGUGCCGCAGAGAAGUUGUUAAGCUCGCCGCUUGGGAAGUACGGCCGCAAGGCUGAAACUUAAAGGAAUUGGCGGGGGAGCACCACAAGGGGUGAAGCCUGCGGUUCAAUUGGAGUCAACGCCGGGA
rnacentral:rRNA from 1 species